UGUAGGUUUUCUUUUAUGAAUAAAUUUUAAUCUUACUUAACCCCGUAAGACCCACUGUUUCAGUAUUACAACAUUUGUGGUUACUCCCCAAAACCCCUUUUAUCUUUUUUUUUAUUGUUUGUUUGUUUAUACAACCACAUCAAUAUGAUCUGUGGGUCCUACAUUUUAUUCCCACCAUGUAAUUGGAUCCAGGAUUUGUAUACAAAGCCCACCCUUAAGUCAAGAAGUGGCACAUCUUACAACUUUCUGAUGAAGCAACAUCCCUUUGAUUUACUGGACUGGAUUCAUCUUCAAGUCUUUUGCAAGAGACACCUGGCCACACCUGGCCAAUCCUCCAAGUUGUGCGGGAUGCUCCUGGUGCUUUGUUCUGGCACAGGUGUAAAUGUUCAUCACUGUUAGAUUUUGUUGUAAACUGGAUGCUGAAUGCAUUCCUGUAAGGAUUACAAUCACAGUCUACUAUAGAAUGCCACCAGCAAGGAGAAAUCCUCGGUACAAUGUGCACAAUGUUAAUGGCCAUCAUCCAAAAAGGAGAAAGUGAUGUGGACAUCGAUUUUGACGACACUGAUGCAAGUGAUGAAGAAUCAGAUAUUGAUGUCUCAUGUGGACAAAGAAAACCAAGAACCUACCGAUUGUCCAGCUAAUGUGAAUAUUGAGCCCGG